rnacentral:rRNA from 1 species
UACGUAGGGUGCAAGCGUUAAUCGGAAUUACUGGGCGUAAAGCGUGCGCAGGCGGCUUUGCAAGACAGAUGUGAAAUCCCCGGGCUUAACCUGGGAACUGCAUUUGUGACUGCAUGGCUGGAGUGCGGCAGAGGGGGAUGGAAUUCCGCGUGUAGCAGUGAAAUGCGUAGAUAUGCGGAGGAACACCGAUGGCGAAGGCAGUCCCCUGGGCCUGCACUGACGCUCAUGCACGAAAGCGUGGGGAGCAACAGG